UGACAAUUUUAUAUAAUUUACUUUCUUAUAAUGAUCCACUUCAGUGUAUUUCAUAAUAAACCCAUAUUUUAACUUAAAGUCACCUACUAUAAUAGUUGAGAUAUACCUUCCUAUCAUAUAGAGGAACUCCAUGCCUGAAAGGUAAUAACCUUUUCUUGGAGUUAUGCAUUACAAAUUUAACAAGAAUUUUAUCUAUAUAUACACCUAGGGAUAAAUCUAACAUUUUAUUCCUGCGAUCUCGCAAAAGCUUGAUCCCUAAAAUGUAGCUGGCUUCUCCUAAGUCCUUCAUAUCAAAAUAAUUUGCCAAUCAGUAUUUUACAAUAGAUAACGCCCCUAUAUCAUUCCUAAUGAGUAGAAUAUCAUGUACGUAUAAAAUUAAAAACAUCACCAUACUUUGCUCGCACUUCUUAUACACACAUGGUUCAUCCGUAUUUUGUUCAAAAAUAAAAAAAUUUAAUCGCCUGAUCAAAAUAAAUGUUCCAACUUCGGGAGGCUUUCUUAAGUCUAUAAAUAGACCUAUGCAACUUACAUACCAUACGCUCUUGGCUCUUAGCUAUGACACCGUUCAGUUGCAUCAUAUAGAUGUCUUCCUCAGGAUUAUCAUUCAAAAAUGCAAUCUUGAUGUCCAUUUAUCAAAUUUUAUAAUCGAAAUGUGCCGCAACAAGAGAACUCAAAUAUAGCGACGGGUGAAAAUUUUUUCUCAUAAUCAAUUCCUUAUUUUUGAGUAAAUUCUUUAGCCACCAAACUAGCUUUAAAAGGCUCAAGCAAACCAUCGGAGUCUUCUUUUCCUUUUAUAAACCCACUUAUGGCCAAUGAGUUUAAUAUUGACAAGUUGUAUUACCCUGAACUGAUUAAUUGUCUUCAUUUAUGUUUUAAUGUUGAUUUUUAUUAUUUUAAGGUCAAAAUGACCAAUUGAGAGUUAGGUUGUAACAAAAGUCCUUGGAGGAGGGCACAUGGAAUUAUUCCCAUGUGUGUCUCAUCUUAUAUACACACAUACACUACACAACGCGCGCGCGCACACACACGCAGAGAGAGAAGGACAAGAAGAAGAGAGAGAGCUUGGAGAGAGUUCAACCCAAGUUAUAAGAAGCCAAUAGAAUACCAUCAAGCUUAAAAAGAGGUGAGAAAUUAGCUUUAUAUAUAUCUUUGUAUGUGUCGUGUGUAUAAGUUUGGAGAUUUUGGGGGGGUUUUGGUUUAAUGUACCUAGGAGGGUUUGGGUUUAUGUUGGGGGACUCAUUUGAGUCCAAAUUGGUUAAAUCUUGGAGUUUGAAGCUCCACAUUGAGGGAUUUGAGAGUUGAGAUGAAAAUUCCCAAAUUAGGAAUGUUAGGGCUUUUGAGAGUAAAACUUAGAUCUCUUUUAUUUCAUUGCUUAUUUUCUCUCUAUUUUCAGUUGUUGCUGCCCUUUUGGUGUAUGUUUGAACCUUAAAAACUCUAGAAGAGUCUGAUUUUUUCUUUUUGCCACACCAUUUUGCUGAGACAUACUUGGUGCUGACAACUGAGAUACUAUCCCAUUAUCCAAUAAAUAUUUAUCAAAGUCAUCAGAGAAGUAUUUGCCACCUCGAUCUGAUCAAAUAAACUUUAUGUUCUUAUCUAGUUGCUUCUCUGCUUUUAACCCAAAAUUCUUUGAACUUUUUAAAUAUCUCAAAUUUACGGUGCAAUAGAUAAACAUAACCAUACCUUGAGUAAUCAUCAAUAAAAGUAUAAAAAUACUCAAAGUCUCCUCUGGCCCUAACAUUUAGGGUCCACACAAAUCUAUAUGAAUUAACUUUAAUACACAUUUGGAUCUAUUGCCCUUUGUCGAAAUAGCCCUUUUAGUCAUUUUUAAAAGUUGAAUAGUCAAAGAUAACAAAUGGCUCUCUUUAAUCAAUCUAUCAAUCAUUUUUAAAUUAAUAUGACCAAGUCUUUUAUGCCAAAAGUACGUUGAAUUAUUAGAAGCCUUUGUUUUAAGUGGCAAGUUUUGUAACUUAUUCAAUUUAGUGUCAUGUAUCUCAUACAUCUUAAGAGUAAUUAAAUAAAGACAAUCAACCAAUUUGCCCGAGCAUAUUGGAAUAUUCUUGUUUAAAAUGGAGUAUCCUUGUUUAAACAAAGCAGAAACUGAAAUUAAAUUUCUUCUAAUACUAGGGACAAAUAAACAGUCAUAUAAAACUAUUGUUUUAUUCGAAGGAAAAAAUAAUUCAACUACCUUACAAAACACUUCAACAACUCUUACUUCCGAACCACCCAAGUGCUACGUAACUUCACCAUCACUUAGCUUUCGGGUUUUCUUAAAUUCCUGCAACUUGUUUCAAAUGUGAAUAGUUGCACUAAAAUCUAUACUCCAGGAAUUUGAAGUACCCUCAAUAAAAUUUACUUCAAUAACAAGUGAUUCGGUUAUACCUGAGUCCUUUUUUUGAGCCAGGUAGUUUGAACAGUUCCUCUUCCAAUGACCUGUAAAUCCACAGUGGAAACACUUUCUCUUAAGGUUUUGAAUCAUUCACUUUCUUUACUUUGCCAAUACCCA
rnacentral:lncRNA from 1 species